AGGAGCAGAUAAGACCCUUCUUUGUCACGAUGACAGCUCUGCCCGGCGUCCACCAUUUCUCAGGUCAUCCUGUGUUACAGGGUUGCAUCUGAUUAUUUUUGCACAUAGGUUUGAAAUGUAUGAAAGAUGGUCUGAAUUUCUCGGCCCUCCUCUCGAGCAAAGCUAGUAGCACAGACCGCGGCAGGCCGUUCUUCUAUCUCUGCGAGCCGGGAGGUGAAAAGCUAAGGGAAACCUGCUCUUAUCCCCAUUUUUACACGAGGUUCUAGAAUCUGCCAGGGAACAACCUGCUUAAACCUGUCUAGGCAUAAUUAUGAACACCUCCCUUUGCUCUGCAAAGGGACAGCUGGACAGUGGAUUAUAUAGUCCUCCGAGGUACAGAGGACAUCGCAUUCAUUCCAGCCACGUUCUUACCAGAUGUGCAGAGAGCCUGGUGAGGCUGGAGAGGCGGAGGGUGAGAAAGGGAAGUGACUCGUCCACGCUCACCCGUUUUCGUCGCCUCCUGUGAUGGCACUGGAGUCCUUUGCAGUAGCAUCUUUCCGUGCACCUCGGCUGCACAGGUGGCAGUGGAAGGAGUAGUCUUUAUGUGGAAUCUGUUGUCCUCUUAGAAGGUGCCAGGAGAGCAAAUGACCAAGCUGAACCACAGAAUCGCAUUAAAAUUUCUGCUUAUAAUGGCAUGUAUCAUGUCUGUUCACAUGUCCAUCAAAGUCAAUCACAUGAUCAAGCUGGACAACAAAGGGGCAAGUAUACUUGACCUAUAAGGAGUUCUGAUACAGGUGAUAUUGGUUAUAUCUCCCACUUAGAGUGCCAUGGACCAAAUCAUAUCUCAAAGAAGCCCAAAGCUGUGUCUUUCCAGUUUAAGAGUGGGUUUCACCAAUGAAGACAUCGGAUAUGAUAUCUUCGCCACUUACACAUUUUCACAGAAGAAGACAGUCAACACUUCGGCGAUGUCAGAAAAAAAUGCUGAUCGCUCACCUGGAAAACACUGUCUCCUGAAUCCAUUCAUACUUCCCACAGUUCUUGGGCUCUUCUGGUUUUCCGGCACAGAAGGAGAGAUGCAGAGGAGCACAAGGCAUGUGUUUGGUCCUCGAUGUGUCCCUGGUCCGGGGGUACGUCUGCGCAGCCACAUCUGGGACAACCAUCUCCACUCCUGGGAGAGCUGCACCUCCUUUAUGGAAGUGAAGCAGCACACAGAGGAGAGGAGCCCAGCACCCACCAGAAAUUAGGUGUCAUUCAGCACCCCCAUUUAUUUGGGCUCCUCGCCACUCAUUCUCUGCGACAGAGGUGGCAGCGACUGCCCUGACAGAUCAUGUUUUGCUCCUCGUGGUUGAGUGGGAAUGGCUACCUGUGUGCACUUUUAUUAAGGCCGCGGACUGAACAUCUGGUUUCCGUUUCAAUCAUUUGGAUGGGAAGUGUUUCUCCUAAUGAACACCGCAGGUAGAGAGUCCCGUUUGGCCUGCAGUGCUGUUCCCACUGGCAUCCAUCGGAAGGUUGGCAAAUAAUCAUCCCCGCUGGCAGAAGACAAAGUAGCCAGCCUUCUGAACUGCUCCCCUGUCCUUCUGAACUGCAAGCCUUGUGCCCCAUUCCCGCGCUGCUGUCAAUCUCCACAGUGCUCUGCUUGAUCCAAGCUCAUAACUGGAAGCUUGUGGUGGACUCAAUCCCUUCCCAGAGGGAGUGCUAUGCUAAGGAAAACACUGCGUCCCCCAGGCAAAAGGCGGUGGUCUAAACUAGAGGCUUCCCUGUGGCUGGUUACCCCCAGUGGAGAGGCAGGAAGAUUUCUGCUCCGGGCUAUAGGAAAAGAAUGAUCAUCUUUUCUCGCCAUUAGAAAAUGUCACCAAGCUUCUUACGGCAAGUGGCACCUUGUUGUGUGUUAUGAUAACACAUUCCUCUUGGACCCUACUACCUAAUAGGAACUGGAAGGAAAGACAAGUGUAUUAAGAAAGGUGUAUUUUCAAAGCUUUAGAUUGUGUCUAAGCAAAAGGAAGCUGUGUGCAAAGGGAUUGUAUGCCUUUUCUGGGAAAGGAAAGUCCUUAGAGGUUCUUUGGGAAGGAAUGGCCAUCCUCCUUCUAACUAGAGAAAAAAGUCAUGAAGGAAUUUUUAAAUAUCUUUAUGUCCUAAUUAAUUUGUGGUCAAGUGUAUGGUCAAGAUUCUCAGUUGCAAGUGACAGAAAUACAAGUCAAAUAGAAGGCAGUAUAUACACAGGACAAUUCCAGAGUAGACCUUCAGGUACAGCUGGUUCCAGCCUAUAGAAUAGUAUCCUCAGGAACGUGGUUCCAGCCUUCAGUAUGGCCCUCUCUCUCUUGUCCUCAUCCUCAAGCAAGUACUCCCUACUUUUGGACAGAAUGUUCCACAAAAGCUCUAGGCUAACUUUCCAUCUGUUUAACCACUCAGGAAAAAGGAUUCUUUCCUGGGUCUUCAGGCAUAACUCCUGGGGCUGAUAGAGUAGGCACUGAUAGGCUCAGCGUGUAGCACGUGUGUGUUUCUCAACCAAACUUGGACCACACAUUCACUCCUGGGGCUGAGGGUGACUGUGACCCUCCCCGGAACUACCAGGACUGGGAGUCAGGGAGGAGCAGUUCCCUAAAGAAAACGAGGACCCUAGUAGCACAAGAAGAAAUGGAAGUGGAGCCGGAAAAAGCGGCAGAUGUCCACAAUCCAUACCAAAAAAAAAAAAGUAAAUUGUUGUGAGAUUCGACCAAGAACAACAAAAUCAACCUCAGCUUUUUAAGUGACUUUAAAAGAGGUCAGCUUCCAACUUCCUUUAUAGAAUUUCUGACUAUCCCACUGCUAGUAACCAAGUCAGCAAUAAAUUCUCUGUUUCUCUUACAAAUCAAAGUUGCCCAGGAACAUUUCCUGUUAAUCCCUGUUUUAGAGUAUUGUGUAAUGCCCAGAUUCUUCUUUCAGGGAUAAAGGUGACAAACCGAUUUGGAUAAAAACAAAAUAAGCAAAAUAAAACAAGAGGUUAUAGUGAAAUUUUCUGUUUUCACAUCAGAGCUUUAGCAGGAAAAUCUAUUUGGCUCAGUUAUUUUUGAAUGGAGAGCAAAUAAUGCUUCAGGUGUAAAAGGAGAAGAACCGGGGUGCCUGGGUGGCUCAGUUGGUUAAGCGUCUGCCUUCGGCUCAGGUCAUGAUCCCGGAGUCAGGCUCCCAGGCCCGCAGAGAGGCUGCUUCUCCCUCUCCCCCUGCCUCUCCUCCCUGCUCAUGUUCUCUCUCUCUCUCUGAAAUAAAUACAUACAUAAAAUCUUAAAAAAAAAUAAAAUUAAAAUUAAAAUUAAAAAAGAAGAAGAAACAAUCACUACUUAUAAUAAGGACAAUGUUACCAAGAAAAAGUAGAGGAUGGACACUCAGAAAUAGGUAACAACUCCUGUCACAGGAAGCAAGGGACAGUUUCUGUCACAAGGAGAGGAAGUGCACUGAAGGGCUAGUAAGCAAAUACUUACCUCUCCCAGUAAGGAGGUGACAUGCUCUAAAACCCAGGGACGACACAGUCCACCACAGAUUUUGUUUCACUCUGAUGCUUCACUGCAAAUAUCUCCAGGAGUUUUCAGCCACCCCAAAAGUUCUUAAAAUAAAAUUACUGGGACACCCGUGUGGCUCAGUCAGUUAAGCUGCUGCCUUCGGCUCAGGUCCUGAUCCCAGGGUCCUAGGAUUGAGUCCCGAAUUGGGCUCCUUGCUCAGCGGGGAGCCUGCUUCUCUCUCUGCCUCUACCUGUCACUCUGCCUGCUGUGUUCUCUCUCUCU